rnacentral:tRNA from 1 species
GGGCGGUUAGCUCAGUCCGGUUAGAGCGCUUGCUUCACACGCAAGAGGUCCGAGGUUCAAGUCCUCGACCGCCCACCA